rnacentral:lncRNA from 1 species
CCGGGACUAAAGGCCCAGCCACGUCGCCCCAAUUCACAAUGCCUCCCUCGAGGCUUUAGUUCCGGCCCGUAAGGAGCCUUUAGUCCCGGUUCGUGUCCCAAACCGGGACUAAAGGGCUACGCGGUGAGCAGUGGUGGUGGCAACCGUUCGUAUCCCCCUUUAGUCCCGGUUGGUGGCUCAACCCGGGACUAAAGGCCUAACACGUGGCCUGCCGUAGUGGUGGAAACCGUUGGUAUGCCUCUUUAGCCCCGGUUGGUGGCUCAAACCGGGACUAAAGGCCCAAA